rnacentral:rRNA from 1 species
UACGUAGGGUGCGAGCGUUGUUCGGAAUCAUUGGGCGUAAAGCGCGUGUAGGCGGUUUUUUAAGUCGAGUGUGAAAGCCCUGGGCUCAACCCAGGAAGUGCAUUCGAAACUAACUGACUAGAAGAUGGCAGAGGAAGGUGGAAUUCCAAGUGUAGAGGUGAAAUUCGUAGAUAUUUGGAGGAAUACCGGUGGCGAAGGCGGCCUUCUGGACCAUUCUUGACGCUGAGACGCGAAAGCGUGGGGAGCAAACAGG